rnacentral:piRNA from 1 species
UUAAAUAUAUGGUGGGUAUGUGAAGGAU